GACGAACCGAGCGAACGUUGUUCGGAAUCACUGGGCUUAAAGGGCGCGUAGGCGGGUGCUCAAGUCCGGGGUGAAAUCCUCCAGCUCAACUGGAGAACUGCCUUGGAUACUGGGUGUCUCGAGGGUGGUAGGGGUCUGCGGAACUAUCGGUGGAGCGGUGAAAUGCGUUGAUAUCGAUAGGAACUCCGGUGGCGAAGGCGGCAGGCUGGACCACUUCUGACGCUGAGGCGCGAAAGCCAGGGGAGCAAACGGG
rnacentral:rRNA from 2 species